rnacentral:rRNA from 1 species
ACGAACGCUGGCGGCGUGCUUAACACAUGCAAGUCGAACGGAAAGGCCCCUUUGGGGGUACUCGAGUGGCGAACGGGUGAGUAACACGUGAGUAACCUGCCCUUGACUUCGGGAUAACCUCAGGAAACUGGGGCUAAUACCGGAUAGGAAUCCUUGCUGCAUGGUGGGGGUUGGAAAGCUUCGGCGGUUUUGGAUGGACUCGCGGCUUAUCAGCUUGUUGGUGGGGUAGUGGCUUACCAAGGCUUUGACGGGUAGCCGGCCUGAGAGGGCGACCGGCCACAUUGGGACUGAGAUACGGCCCAGACUCCUACGGGAGGCAGCAGUGGGGAAUAUUGCACAAUGGGCGGAAGCCUGAUGCAGCAACGCCGCGUGCGGGAUGACGGCCUUCGGGUUGUAAACCGCUUUCAGCAGGGGCGAAGCUUGUGGUGACGGUACCUGCAGAAGAAGCACCGGCUAACUACGUG